rnacentral:tRNA from 1 species
GGGGUUAUGGCUCAGUGGUAGAGCACUUGCCUAGCAUGUGUGAGGCACUGGGUUCAAACCUUAGCACCA